UCCCUGCUGGCUCAGACGGUAAAAGAAUCUGCCUGCAACGCAGGAGACCCAGGUUCAAUCCCUGGGUUGGGAG
rnacentral:tRNA from 1 species